GUAUGUGUUUGUGUGUAUAUGUAUAUAUGUAUGUAUGUAUAUGUGUGUAUGUAUGUAUGUUUGGUGUGUUUAUAUAUAUUUAUAUAUGUAUAUGUGUAUGUAUGUAUAAUUUAUAUGUGUGUGUCUUUGUGUGUAUGUGUGUUUGAGAGUGAAUGAAUCCAUAAAUGUAGGUAUAGCUUAUAUGGUAUUAUUUAUAGCACUUCCUCAAACGAACGCUUCUAUGCCCUUAAUGUUAUUAAGUAUUAUUAUUAUCUCUAUAAUUGACAUUAUUACUCUUACUAUUACUUACUGAAGUGGGUAAUAUUAGGCUCAAAAAAGUUAUUAAUGUAAAUGCUCAUCGAGCAGAAAACUUACUUGCCAGAAUUCAGUGUCAAGCAGUGUUAAUGUCUGUUAAUUUGAUUCUACUUUAGACAGUUCAAAGCAAAUUGCCUUUGUCAUCACUUGAUUAGUUAGCUUACUGUCGAAACAUGGUUUUAAUUUUGUAAAUUUAAUAUAAUGUAAAAUUUACUCUAUUAUUCAUUAGUCAACAAUUAGAGAGAAGCUGGAGUUUAAUUAAGAAAUGCUGGAAAUUAAUUUAAAUCAAGGUAUUUGCAGGCUUUACUUCACUUUUAUUUUCUGGUACCUGUGUCGUGACAUGUUUUAAAAAGAACUUAACUGAUGUUAAUGCUUUAUAUCGUUAACUACAAUAGUAGAA